rnacentral:rRNA from 1 species
GACGAACGCUGACGGCGUGCUUAACACAUGCAAGUCGAAGGGAGUGGCGAACGGGUGAGUAACACGUGAGUAACCUGCCCUUUUCUGUGGGAUAAGCCUGGGCAACUGGGUCGAAUACUGGUUGGAAUGGGAUGUGCUCGUGGCUUAUCAGCUUGUUGGUGGGGUGAGGGCUUACCAAGGCUUUGACGGGUUGCCGGCCUGAGAGGGUGGCAGGUCACGCUGGGACUGCGAUACGGACCAGACGCGUACGGGGGGGAGCAGUGGGGGAUAUUGCGCAAUGGCUGAAAGUCGGAUGCAGCGUCGUCGUGUGAGGUAUGAAGGCCGUAGGGUUGUAAACUCCUUUCGCCCGCGGAAUGUUAGUGGGUAAAGAAGCGCCGGCUAACUACGUGCCAGCAGCCGCGGUAAUAC